rnacentral:tRNA from 1 species
AGAGAAACUUAGGCUAACAAAAACCAGGGGCCUUCAAAGCCCCAAAUAAAAGAUCAACCCUUUUAGUUUCUG